rnacentral:rRNA from 1 species
UACGUAGGGGCCGAGCGUUGUCCGGAGUUACUGGGCGUAAAGCGCGCGCAGGCGGCUCGUCAAGCCUGACGUGAAAGCCCCCGGCUCAACCGGGGAGAGUCGUCGGGGACCGCACCGCUUGAGGGCGGUAGGGGCUGGUGGAAUGCCUGGUGUAGUGGUGAAAUGCGUAGAGAUCAGGCAGAACACCUGGGGCGAAGGCGGCCAGCUGGGCCGUCCCUGACGCUGAGGCGCGAAGGCGUGGGGAGCGAACGGG